CCCACAUCAGAUUUCCUGGUGUAACGAAUUUUUCGAUGACUUCUUGCAGAUGCAAGUUUGAUCCCGACUCCUCAAGCGUCGGGAUUU
rnacentral:other from 1 species